CUACGUGCCAGCAGCCGCGGUCAUACGUAGGGUGCAAGCAUUAUCCGGAGUGACUGGGCGUAAAGAGUUGCGUAGGCGGUUUAAUAAGUGAAUAGUGAAACCUGGUGGCUCAACCAUACAGACUAUUAUUCAAACUGUUAAACUCGAGAAUGGUAGAGGUAACUGGAAUUUCUAGUGUAGGAGUGAAAUCCGUAGAUAUUAGAAGGAACACCGAUGGCGUAGGCAGGUUACUGGGCCAUUUCUGACGCUAAGGCACGAAAGCGUGGGGAGCGAACCGGAUUAGAUACCCGGGUAGUCCACGCCGUAAACGAUGGAUACUAGCUGUUGGAGGUAUCGACCCCUUCAGUAGCGAAGCUAACGCGUUAAGUAUCCCGCCUGUGGAGUACGGCCGCAAGGCUAAAACAUAAAGGAAUUGACGGGGACCCGCACAAGCGGUGGAGCAUGUGGUUUAAUUCGACGCAACGCGAGGAACCUUACCAGAUCUUGACAUCCCG
rnacentral:rRNA from 1 species